rnacentral:lncRNA from 1 species
AGAUCUGAGAACACCAAGAUGCUCAAAGUGCCUCCUGUUCUCAGCUCCCACUACAGCAAAAUCCUUGCUUCCAUUUGUGGUUUUCCUUAUGGUGAGCAAAUGCUGUUCACUGUGGCCACCACCUGGACUUUACUGCUGUUUAUCUUUUCCUGAAAGAGGCUGCAUCGGGAGAAACCACCCUGAACUUGGGGUAAUUCCAUGCAACUGACAGUGUGUUAAGUGCCACUAGAUAUAUUAAUAAGAAUUGCUCUUUGAAUGUUAGCC